UUUCGAUGGACAUGCCUUCAAGAUAGCAUUUACUAUCCAUUUUUAAGAAAGAAAAGCACAUUUGGAAAUUGUAUAGUUAAAGAAACGUCCACUUUGAAAUGAACUGUGACCAAAACGAAUUUCCGCAGAAUAAAAUGUCGCGAAUGCGGUCUCCACACUUCGUGAUGAGUUACAGAUCUUUCAUUGUGAUUGGACCUAUAGAUACAUACAACGUAAUUAGAAAGUUGAAAAAUAAGUAUUAAUGUAUAAUAAGGACAAUAUCAUAUUGCAGACAGAAUUUUCAAGCUGACUGCUAGUUACUAUUCAGAUUUCAUAAUAAUUGAGCAAUUAUUCAUGUACAAUAUCUAUUAAUUACUGAAUAUAUCGAUUCCACAUAUGGAGUGUUAUAUUUUAAGUGCCAAGCAGACAAAUAAGGUUCGUAAAGCCCGAAGAUACAGAAAAACAUUUCAGAUAA